CCUACGGGAGGCAGCAGUGGGGAAUAUUGCACAAUGGGCGAAAGCCUGAUGCAGCAACGCCGCGUGAAGGAAGACGGUUUUCGGAUUGUAAACUUCUUUUCUCAGGGACGAAGCAAGUGACGGUACCUGAGGAAUAAGCCACGGCUAACUACGUGCCAGCAGCCGCGGUAAUACGUAGGUGGCAAGCGUUAUCCGGAUUUACUGGGUGUAAAGGGCGUGUAGGCGGGACUGCAAGUCAGAUGUGAAAACCAUGGGCUCAACCUAUGGCCUGCAUUUGAAACUGUUGGUCUUGAGUAUCGGAGAGGCAGGCGGAAUUCCUAGUGUAGCGGUGAAAUGCGUAGAUAUUAGGAGGAACACCAGUGGCGAAGGCGGCCUGCUGGACGACAACUGACGGUGAGGCGCGAAAGCGUGGGGAGCAAACAGGAUUAGAUACCCUUGUAGUC
rnacentral:rRNA from 1 species